GUUGGAUAAGGGUCGUUGGUCUCUCAACUUGGAAGCAUUAUGCUGGCUGAUUGUAGAUAGAGUUUAUAUGGGUGCUUUUCCUCGGCCUGCUGGUGUACUGAAGACUCUGGAAUUCUUGUUAUCUAUGCUACAGUUGGCUAAUAAGGAUGGGCGCGUUGAAGAAGCUGCUCCAACUGGGAAAGGAAUCCUUUCCAUUGGUAGAGGAAGUAGACAACUCGAUGCUUA
rnacentral:misc_RNA from 1 species